UAAAUCCCUCCUUAGGCACACUUAGCUUAUUCGAUUAUCUUGCACAGCUAGCUACAGGUAUGCAGAUCAUGGCCGUGUUUGGUUAGCUAACAAAGUUCUAUGUUCAUAUCUUCUGCUAUGCUAGUGUCACGGUGAAUGCUGGAUGGAUGGUUCGGUUUGUCAGGCGUAUGUUUGGUUGCAACUGUGAAAGGGAGCAGUUGAUCGGGGUGGUGUGAUCGAGGAAGAGUGGAUUUGUCAAAUAGCUCCUGUAUUCUUGGAUAUGUGGGGCAAAGCACGGCCAUGACAGGCAUGAUGCUCCUUGCAUGUGCAGCACAGGAAAGAAGAGAGAACGAUGGUGGUGAGUGGUGACUGUUGGCUUCGAACUUGCUUUUGACUCAUGGUGGAUAAACCAGCGGAGUGGUCUGCUUAUGUUGGAGGUUAGUUUUGUAUCUCUUUAAAUUACUGCACUUCUCGUAUACUCUCAUGGAGCUUGAAUGUAAUUUGUACACUGUCGUGCUGCUAAAACAGCAUGAGAAUCAUAUAAUUUCUCCAGUUUAAGAGAGGAUAUCUCAAAUGAACAUUUGCCU